rnacentral:miRNA from 1 species
UGCAGGAACUUGUGAGUCU